rnacentral:rRNA from 1 species
UACGUAGGUGGCAAGCGUUGUCCGGAUUUACUGGGCGUAAAGAGCGCGCAGGCGGUCGUUCAAGUCGCGUGUGAAAGCCCCCGGCUCAACUGGGGAGGGUCAUUCGAUACUGCCGUGACUAGAGGUCGGUAGGGGAGUGUGGAAUUCCUGGUGGAGCGGUGAAAUGCGCAGAUAUCAGGAGGAACACCCGUAGCGAAGGCGGCACUCUGGGCCGAUACUGACACUGAGGAGCGAAAGCGUGGGGAGCGAACAGG